rnacentral:misc_RNA from 1 species
UCAAACUUGGUCAUUUAGAGGAAGUAAAAGUCGUAACAAGGUCUCCGUUGGUGAACCAGCGGAGGGAUCAUUACAAGAGAGAGUUGCAAAACUCCCUAAACCCACUGUGAACGUUACCUACGUCGUUGCUUCGGCAGGCGGCUCCAGGGCGGAGCCUUACAACCUGUAUCCCCAGGUGUCUGCCGAGCGCAUCCCAAACUCUUGUUAUUUCAGCUGUCUGAGCUCUAUAAGAUAAAUACGUCAAAACUUUCAGCAACGGAUCUCUUGGUUGUGGCAUCGAUGAAGAACGCAGC